GAUGAACGCUGGCGGCGUGCCUAAUACAUUCAAGUCGAGCGAACGGACGAGAAGCUUGCUUCUCUUAUUUUAGCGGCGGACGGGUGAGUCACACUUGGAUAACCUACCUAUAAGACUGGGAUCACUUCGGGAAACCGGCGCUAAUACCGGAUGAUAUUUUGAACCGCAUGGUUCAAAAGUGAAAGACGGUCUUGCUGUCACUUAUAGAUGGAUCCGCGCUGCAUUAGCUAGUUGGUAAGGUAACGGCUUACCAAGGCAACGAUGCAUAGCCGACCUGCGAGGGUGAUCGACCACACUGGAACUGAGACACGGUCCAGACUCCUAGGGGAGGCACAAGUAGGGAAUCUUCCGAAAUGGGCGAAAGCCUGACGGAGCAACGCCGCGUGAGUGAUGAAGGUCUUCGGAUCGUAAAACUCUGUUAUUAGGGAAGAACAUAUGUGUAAGUAACUGUGCACAUCUUGACGGUACCUAAUCAGAGAGCCACGGCUAACUACGUG
rnacentral:rRNA from 1 species